GACAGAGGGUGCAAACGUUGUUCGGAAUUACUGGGCGUAAAGCGCGUGUAGGCGGCUUGGCAAGUCGCGUGUGAAAGCCCCCGGCUCAACUGGGGAGGGUCACGCGAUACUGAUCGACUCGAAGGCAGGAGAGGGUAGUGGAAUUCCCGGUGUAGUGGUGAAAUGCGUAGAUAUCGGGAGGAACACCAGUGGCGAAGGCGACUACCUGGCCUGUUCUUGACGCUGAGGCGCGAAAGCUAGGGGAGCAAACGGG
rnacentral:rRNA from 1 species